CAAACCCUUAAGCCCCGUCGCUUAGCGUUGGGAGCCUACGGCAGCGUAGCUCCCCAAAGUCAGUGGCGGAGUCGGUCCCACGCUCCGGACGUAGUAGAAUCACCUCUCGUCCGCGGCCGGGCCGUCCCCCUGCCAUUAAAACACCCCACGUCUUCAAG
rnacentral:misc_RNA from 1 species